GUGGGGAAUCUUGCGCAAUGGGCGAAAGCCUGACGCAGCCAUGCCGCGUGAAUGAUGAAGGUCUUAGGAUUGUAAAAUUCUUUCACCGGGGACGAUAAUGACGGUACCCGGAGAAGAAGCUCCGGCUAACUUCGUGCCAGCAGCCGCGGUAAUACGAAGGGGGCUAGCGUUGCUCGGAAUUACUGGGCGUAAAGGGAGCGUAGGCGGAUAGUUUAGUCAGAGGUGAAAGCCCAGGGCUCAACCUUGGAAUUGCCUUUGGUACUGGAUAUCUUGAGUAUGGAAGAGGUAUGUGGAACUCCGAGUGUAGAGGUGAAAUACGUAGAUAUUCGGAAGAACACCAGUGGCGAAGGCGACUCACUGGCCCAAUACUGACGCUGAGGCGCGAAAGCGUGGGGAGCAAACAGGAUUAGAUACCCGUGUAGUCC
rnacentral:rRNA from 1 species